rnacentral:lncRNA from 1 species
UAUUAGGAUAAAUUGCACAUUUGGUCUUCAAACUAUGGGGCGGGUGACAAUUUGGUCUUUGAAUAUUAAUUUGAUAUCAUUUCCCACUCAAAAUUUUUGUAUUUUUGCAAUAUUAAGAUGCUACAUCACUUUAAUAUUAUUGAUUCAUCUAUAUUUAAUCAACUAAAUUAGGUUAUAGGAUUUGAUUAUAGUAGUUCUAAAAAUUCGAGCUAAAAAGAAUAACAAAUUAAAGUUUGAGAACCAAAUUGUCAUCACUUACCAUAGUUUGAGGACCAAAAUGUGCAAUUU